GCUUACAGUUCGUUCAAGUGCCACCAGUUUUUUUGGAGUUUCAUCUUUUCCAUUCAUCUGAGUAAGCUUACAGUUCGUUCAAGUGCCACCAGUCUGGUUUUGGAGUUUCAUCUAUUCCAUUCAUCUGAGUAAAGUGCUGUGAGAAAGAGCCAUGUCUCCCGUGCCGCCACCAAUGACGAGAUUACGAAGAAUGUAAUACGGUGGUUCAACCUGGCAGCAGAUAGGGGAAGCUCAAGGAGCCGUCCCACUGUCAGCAUCCUGACCCAACAGUA